rnacentral:rRNA from 1 species
AUGAAAAAAACUUUGAAAAGAGAGUUAAAUAGUACGUGAAAUUGUUGAAAGGGAAGCACUUAUGACCAGACUUGGCCCCGGUGAAUCAUCCAGCGGUUCCCGCUGGUGCACUUUGCCGGGGUUCAGGCCAGCAUCAGUUCGCUCCGGGGGAUAAAGGCUUUGGGAAUGUGGCUCCCUCGGGAGUGUUAUAGCCCAUUGCGUAAUACCCUGUGGCGGGCUGAGGUUCGCGCUUUAUGCAAGGAUGCUGGCAUAAUGGUCAUCAGUGACCCGUCUUGAAACACGGACCAAGGAGUCGUCUUCGUAUGCGAGUGUUCGGGUGUUAAACCCCUACGCGUAAUGAAAGUGAACGCAGGUGAGAGCCCUCCAGGGCGCAUCAUCGACCGAUCCUGAUGUUCUCGGAUGGAUUUGAGUAAGAGCAUACGGGGCCGGACCCGAAAGAAGGUGAACUAUGCCUGUAUAGGGUGAAGCCAGAGGAAACUCUGGUGGAGGCUCGCAGCGGUUCUGACGUGCAAAUCGAUCGUCAAAUAUGGGCAUGGGGGCGAAAGACUAAUCGAACCUUCUAGUAGCUGGUUUCCGCCGAAGUUUCCCCUCAGGAUA